rnacentral:rRNA from 1 species
GACGGAGGGUGCUAGCGUUGUUCGGAAUCACUGGGCGUAAAGGGCGCGCAGGCGGCCGCCCGCGUCGGACGUGAAAGCCCGGGGCUCAACCCCGGAACGGCGUCCGAUACGGGGCGGCUCGAGGCCGGGAGAGGGGGGUGGAAUACCCAGUGUAGAGGUGAAAUUCGUAGAUAUUGGGUGGAACACCGGUGGCGAAGGCGGCGACCUGGUCCUUUACUGACGCUGAGGCGCGAAAGCGUGGGGAGCAAACAGG